rnacentral:rRNA from 1 species
GCUGAGAAUCAGGGUUCGAUUCCGGAGAGGGAGCCUGAGAAACGGCUACCACAUCCAAGGAAGGCAGCAGGCGCGCAAAUUACCCACUCCCGGCACGGGGAGGUAGUGACGAAAAAUAACAAUGCUGGGCUUCAAGUCCGGUAAUUGGAAUGAGUACACUUUAAAUCCUUUAACGAGGAUCUAGUGGAGGGCAAGUCUGGUGCCAGCAGCCGCGGUAAUUCCAGCUCCACGAGCAUGUACGUAAGUUGUUGCAGUUAAAAAGCUCGUAGUUGGAUCUCAGGCUUGUGGCCAGUGGUCCGCUCGAUACGGGUGUGCACUGCUGUGCCCGGCCUACGUCUGGUCUAACGUCCUUAGUGCCCUUAACCGGGUGCUAUGGAAUGCCAGAAGGUUUACUCUGAAAAAAUUAGAGUGCUUAAAGCAAGCAGUUCUGCUUGAAUACUGUUGCAUGGAAUAAUGGAAUAGGACCUCGGAUCUAUUUUGUUGGUUUUCGGAGUCGAGGUAAUGAUUAAGAGGGACAGACGGGGGCAUUCGUAUUGCGCCGUUAGAGGUGAAAUUCUUGGAUCGGCGCAAGACGAACAACUGCGAAAGCAUUUGCCAAGGAUGUUUUCAUUAAUCAAGAACGAAAGUCAGAGGUUCGAAGACGAUCAGAUACCGUCGUAGUUCUGACCAUAAACGAUGCCAACUGGCGAUCCGCCGCAGUCUGGCUUAAAGGACUCGGCGGGCAGCCUCCGGGAAACCUAAGUCUAUGGGUUCCGGGGGAAGUAUGGUUGCAAAGCUGAAACUUAAAGGAAUUGACGGAAGGGCACCACCAGGAGUGGAGCCUGCGGCUUAAUUUGACCCAACACGGGAAAACUCACCCGGCCAGGACACCGUAAGGAUUGACAGACUGAGAGCUCUUUCUUGAUUCGGUGGGUGGUGGUGCAUGGCCGUUCUUAGUUGGUGGAGCGAUUUGUCUGGUUAAUUCCGAUAACGAACGAGACUCUAGCCUGCUAAAUAGACUGGCAAUCCCGUUGUGGGUUGUCCAGAUUUGCUUCUUAGAGGGACAAGUGGCGUUCCUAGCCACGCGAAAUUGAGCAAUAACAGGUCUGUGAUGCCCUUAGAUGUCCGGGGCCGCACGCGCGCUACAAUGAGGGACGCAGUGUGCCCGCAAAGCCUGACCCGAAAGGGUUGGGUAAUCAUUUCAAUUUCCCUCGUAAUAGGGAUUGAGCACUGUAACUAUUGCUCAUGAACGAGGAAUUCCUAGUAAGCGCGAGUCAUAAGCUUGCGUUGACUACGUCCCUGCCCUUUGUACACACCGCCCGUCGCUACUACCGAUUGAAUGGUUUAGCGAGAUCCUCGGAUUGGGCCUUACCCGUGUGAAAGCAUGAGUGAGGUCUGAGAAGAAGCUCAAGCUUGAUCAUUUAGAGGAAGUAAAAGUCGUAACAAGGUU